UACGGAGGAGGCAAUCGUUAUCCGGAAUUAUUGGGCGUAAAGCGUCCGUAGGUGGUGUGUCAAGUCAGUUGUUAAAGCGUGGAGCUUAACUCCAUAAGGGCAAUUGAAACUGACAGGCUAGAGUGCGAUAGGGGCAAGGGGAAUUCCCAGUGUAGCGGUGAAAUGCGUAGAUAUUGGGAAGAACAUCGGUGGCGAAAGCGCCUUGCUGGGUCUGCACUGACACUGAGGGACGAAAGCUAGGGGAGCGAAAGGG
rnacentral:rRNA from 1 species